GUACGUAGGGUGCGAGCGUUGUCCGGAAAUUAUUGGGCGUAAAGAGCUCGUAGGCGGUUUGUCCGCGUCUGGCUUGUGAAAACCCGAGGCUCAACCUCGGGCCUGCAGUGGGUACGGGGCAGACUAGAGUGCGGUAGGGGAGAUUGGAAUUCCUGGUGUAGCGGUGGAAUGCGCAGAUAUCAGGAGGACACCAAUGGCGAAGGCAGAUCUCUGGGCCGUAACUGACGCUGGAGGAAGCGAAAGCAUGGGGAGCGAACAGG
rnacentral:rRNA from 1 species